GGAGAGGUGUCCGAGCGGUCGAAGGAGCGCGCCUGGAAAGCGCGUAAUCGGGUAUCCCCCGGUUCGAGGGUUCAAAUCCCUCUCUCUCCG
rnacentral:tRNA from 1 species